AGGGAUUUGAGUUGUUUGUGCCCAGCUAGAAGAACAAGCUGGCGGGGAGAGGCUGACUGAAACCGAAAAGAAGAGGACUGAAGGGGUUGGCAGUAAAAUGAACGGGGAAAUAAAGAUUUUGCUCAGCUGGUUGCAGAUACAUAGGAACUAGUCCUUUGCCCAGACAGAUGCCCGUCUCGGUCCUCCACAUAUGGCUGUGCAUGGCAUGCCUUGUGUAAAGGUGUGUGCACAGUGGGCUCAGCCUGGGGGCUGAGACCCUUCCAGUAUUCUGCCCACUCAGCUGCGUGCCUUGUUCAGCCAGGAAGAAACACCUUUUUGUAAGUGGACGCCUGUUUUCAUUCACACAAAGGCACUCCCUGUGCUAGCAGCAGCCCCGACCUGGGUAAUGGUUUGCGCACGUCAGCUUUCUGGCCUUUGAAGCCUGUGUCGUUUUAAGCCACACAGUCACGUUGGAUGUCCUGGACUUAAGUACCAGCCAUGUCGAGCCUUACACAAAUCGGACACAGAACCUGCGACUACGGAAGGCCAGCUGUACACCUUUAUCUUUAUCUUUGAAACACCCGCAGUAAGAAACACUGCUAGAACAGGAUAAAUGACUGCUUCCUUUCAUCAUCCGGUUCUUUUCAAUAACUCUUGAAGGCUCAACAACAAUCAUCUGUGCUAACUACCCCCCAAAGAAGGUAGGAGCCACCAGUCAGGCCGACAGGCUACUAGGCUGAGAGCCUGAGUAUUCACUACAGCCUGGUCCAUCUCCC